GACCAACGCUGGCGGCGUGCCUAAUACAUGCAAGUCGAGCGGACGGAUGGGAGCUUGCUCCCAGACCGUCAGCGGCGGACGGGUGAGUAACACGUGGGCAACCUGCCUGUAAGACUGGGAUAACUCCGGGAAACCGGGGCUAAUACCGGAUAACUCUUUCCCUCACAUGAAGGAAAGCUGAAAGAUGGCAUCUCGCUAUCACUUACAGAUGGGCCCGCGGCGCAUUAGCUAGUUGGUGAGGUAACGGCUCACCAAGGCGACGAUGCGUAGCCGACCUGAGAGGGUGAUCGGCCACACUGGGACUGAGACACGGCCCAGACUCCUACGGGAGGCAGCAGUAGGGAAUCUUCCGCAAUGGACGAAAGUCUGACGGAGCAACGCCGCGUGAGUGAUGAAGGUUUUCGGAUCGUAAAACUCUGUUGUCAGGGAAGAACAAGUACCGGAGUAACUGCCGGUACCUUGACGGUACCUGACCAGAAAGCCACGGCUAACUACGUG
rnacentral:rRNA from 1 species